UAAAGAAUUAAAUAAGGGCGCAUGGGGAAUGCCUUGGCUCUCAUAGGCUAUGAAGGACGUGAUAAGCUGCGAUAAGCUUCGGGGAGGUGCAAAUAACCUUUGAUCCGGAGAUUUCCGAAUGGGGAAACCCGAUCUAUAUGAUCAUCCGCAAGGAAGCUAACCCGGUGAACUGAAACAUCUAAGUAACCGGAGGAAAAGAAAACAAAAGUGAUUCCCUAAGUAGUGGCGAGCGAACGGGGAAUAGCCCAAACCAAAGAUGUCUAGGCAUUUUUGGGGUUGUAGGACUUACGUCAAAUACAUUGAAUAAUAAUUAGAAAUAACUGGAAAGUUAUACCAUAGAGUGUGAAAGUCACGUAUAUUAAUAUUAUGAGAUGUUAAGUAAGUAUCCUGAGUACCACGGAACAGGAGAAAUUCUGUGGGAAUCUGCCGGCACCAUCCGGUAAGGCUAAAUACUCAUGAGAGACCGAUAGUGAACCAGUACCGUGAGGGAAAGGUGAAAAGAACUCCGAACAGGAGAGUGAAAUAGACCCUGAAACCAUGCGCUUACAAGCGGUAGGAGGAAAGACGUAAGCUUGCUUAUGUCGGACUGACUGCGUGCCUUUUGCAUAAUGAGCCUACGAGUUAACUAUAUUAGCGAGGUUAACCAAAUUUAUUUGGGAAUCCGUAGCGAAAGCGAGUCUUAAUAGGGCGCAUAGUUAGUAUAGUUAGACGCGAAACUUUGUGAUCUACCCAUGUCCAGGUUGAAGCCACGAUAACACGUGGUGGAGGACCGAACCAGUUAGCGUUGAAAAGCUUUUGGAUGAGGUGUGGGUAGGGGUGAAAGGCCAAUCAAACUGAGAGAUAGCUCGUACUCUCCGAAAUGUUUUUAGGAACAGCCUUAAUUAAUUGUGUCAUAGAGGUAGAGCUACUGAUAGGACUAGGGGACUUCGCCGUCUACCGAAUCCUGACAAACUCCGAAUGCUAUGACAUCUAUAUUAGGAGUGAGGCAGUGAGUGCUAAGAUUCAUUGCCGAGAGGGGAACAACCCAGACCAUCAGCUAAGGUCCCCAAAUAUAUGCUAAGUUGAACUAACGCGGUUGAACUGCAGUGACAGCUAGGAUGUUGGCUUGGAAGCAGCCAUUCAUUUAAAGAGUGCGUAACAGCUCACUAGUCGAGCGGUUUGGCAUGGAUAAUAAUCGGGCAUAAGCAUAUUACCGAAGCUAUGGAAUUACGUAAGUAAUUGGUAGGAGAGCAUUCUGACGGCGCUGAAGGUGAGACGCGAGUUUUGCUGGAGCUUUCAGAAAAGCAAAUGUAGGCAUAAGUAACGAUAAUGCAGGCGAGAAACCUGCACACCGAAAGACUAAGGUUUCCUGAACAACGCUAAUCGGAUCAGGGUUAGUCGGGCCCUAAGUGGUAUCCGCAAGGAAAACACGAUGGAGAACUGGUUAAUAUUCCAGUACUGCUAUAUAUAGUGAAGUCAGGACAGAGUGGUGAAAGGUCUGCGUACUGACGGAAUAGUACGUUUAAGGGUGUAGAUAUACGAGGCAUAGGCAAAUCCGUGCUUUGUGUCGAACCUGAAAGUACCAGGAGUCUUCGGAUGAAUGGAUAAUGACUGUAAUCGUACUCUCUAGAAAAGUGGCUAAACGUUAAUAUAUAUAGUAUCCGUACCGCAAACCGACACAGGUAGUCGAGGAUAGUAUCCAAAGGUGCUCGAGUGAUUCAUGGCUAAGGAACUAGGCAAAUUAGUCCUGUAACUUCGGGAUAAAGGACGCCACAUGCAAAUGUGGCCGCAGAGAAAUGGCCCAGGCGACUGUUUAACAAAAACACAGGACUUUGCAAAAUAGAAAUAUGAAGUAUAAGGUCUGACACCUGCCCGGUGCUGGAAGGUUAAGAGGAGAGGUUAGCAGCAAUGCGAAGCUUUGAAUUGAAGCCCCAGUAAACGGCGGCCGUAACUAUAACGGUCCUAAGGUAGCGAAAUUCCUUGUCGGGUAAGUUCCGACCUGCACGAAUGGUGUAACGAUCUGGGCACUGUCUCAGCCAUGAGCUCGGUGAAAUUGUAGUAUCGGUGAAGAUGCCGAUUACCCGCAACGGGACGGAAAGACCCCGUGCACCUUCACUAUAACUUAACAUUGCUUUUGGAUAAAUCAUGUGUAGGAUAGGUGGGAGACAUCGAAGCGAGGCCGCUAGGUUUCGUGGAGUCGACGUUGAAAUACCACCCUUGAUUUAUUUGGAAUCUAAUUCCUUUUAACGAGGAAGACAUUGUUUGGUGGGUAGUUUGACUGGGGUGGUCGCCUCCAAAAGAGUAACGGAGGCUUUCAAAGGUACCCUCAGCAUGGAUGGUAAUCAUGCGUAGAGUGCAAUAGCAUAAGGGUGCUUGACUGUGAGACAAACAAGUCGAGCAGGGUCGAAAGACGGAUAUAGUGAUCCGGUGGUUCUGUAUGGAAGGGCCAUCGCUCAAAGGAUAAAAGGUACGCCGGGGAUAACAGGCUGAUCACUCCCAAGAGCUCACAUCGACGGAGUGGUUUGGCACCUCGAUGUCGGCUCGUCACAUCCUGGGGCUGGAGAAGGUUCCAAGGGUUCGGCUGUUCGCCGAUUAAAGUGGCACGCGAGCUGGGUUCAGAACGUCGCGAGACAGUUCGGUCCCUAUCUGUUGUGGGCGCUAGAAAUUUGAGAGGACCUGACUCUAGUACGAGAGGACCGAGUUGGACAAACCUCUAGUGUACCUGCUGUGACGCCAGUUGCAUCGCAGGGUAGCUACGUUUGGACGAGAUAAAUGCUGAAAGCAUCUAAGCAUGAAGCUCCCCUCAAGAUGAGAUUUCUUUUAAGGGUCGUCAAAGACUAUGACGUUGAUAGGUUACAGGUAUAAAGGCAGUAAUGUCUGAGCCGAGUAAUACUAAUUACCCGUAAAAUUCUUUA
rnacentral:rRNA from 1 species